rnacentral:snRNA from 1 species
AUACUUACCUGGCGCAGAGGAUACCGUGAUCACCAAGGCGGUUCCUCCAAGACGAGGCUCUUCCAUUGCACUACGGUCGAGCUGAACCUUGCGAAUACCCCUAAUGUGGGUAUCUCGGGCGUAUUAUUUUUGGUAGUUGGGACUGCGUACGCGCUGUCCCAG